CCUUGACUUAGUUGCCAGCAUUNAGUUGGGCACUCUAAGGUGACUGCCGGUGACAAACCGGAGGAAGGUGGGGAUGACGUCAAAUCAUCAUGCCCCUUAUGACCUGGGCUACACACGUGCUACAAUGGAUGGUACAAAGGGCUGCAAGACCGCGAGGUCAAGCCAAUCCCAUAAAACCAUUCUCAGUUCGGAUUGUAGGCUGCAACUCGCCUACAUGAAGCUGGAAUCGCUAGUAAUCGCGGAUCAGCAUGCCGCGGUGAAUACGUUCCCGGGCCUUGUACACACCGCCCGUCACACCACGAGAGUUUGUAACACCCGAAGUCGGUGGAGUAACCGUAAGGAGCUANCCGCCUAAGGUGGGACANAUGAUUGGGGUGAAGUCGUAACAAGGUAGCCGUAUCGGAAGGUGCGGCUGGAUCAC
rnacentral:rRNA from 1 species